CAGGAGUGCUGAAGUGCAAAGCUUCAGCAGAGUUUUUGGGAUCCUUCAAUAUAACAAUAACAGCGAAUCAUAAGGACAUUGCCAAGAAACCAUUAGAGGGACAAAUGUGGAACUUGACGCUCCAAUAGGCUAUGAAGAAUGGAGAAACGGCACUAAAUUUACAUGCAAGGUUGAACACGAUGACCUCAUGGAGCCCACGUUGAAAACGUUCAACAGAGAAAAUGUCCCAGGAACAGCCAAGAAACCCACAGUUUACAUAUUAGCGCCCCCAGAGCACAGACCAGACGAACCGGUGACCCUGACAUGUUACGUGAAAGACUUCUACCCCAAAGAGGUGUUUGUGUCUUGGCUUGCUGACGAUGAACCUGUGACUUCUAAAUACACCACUAGCCUGCCAAUUCAGAACGAUCAAACCUUUUCAGUCUACAGUCAGCUAACAGUUAAUGCUUCCAAAUGGAAGAAUGGCACAGUGUUCAGCUGUGUCGUGUAUCACGAAAAGCAUCGAUGACAAUAUGCGCGUACUGACCAGAUCUAUUACUGACGAUACUGAUAAGGCAGGUGUAAUUAAUCUAAGUAUGAAUACUGCAUCUUGCAAGGCCUAGAGCAUUGUGUAUGUGGUGUCCUCCUGUUAUGCCUGUUAAGUGCUCAUUUUGUUUUCUCCUUUUGUCUUUUGGGUUGCAUGUCCAUUUUUGUAAUCGUGUUGGUCUUUAAUGUUUGUGGCUUCUUGCUUCUUUGAGAUACUUUCUUGCACGUUGCAUUUAGGAAGAGACUAAUAAAAA